rfam:Gossypium raimondii Chr03_contig_299, whole genome shotgun sequence.
CACGUCAGCGCGACCUGUUGAUGUGGAAGGAAAUCGCGUCCUUGAGGGAGUGAUUUCCUUCCAUGUCAGCAGGUCGCGCUGACGUGG